GAUGAAGAACGUAGCGAAAUGCGAUACGUAAUGUGAAUUGCAAAUUCAGUGAAUCAUCGAGUCUUUGAACGCACAUUGCGCCCCCUGGUAUUCCGGAGGGCAUGCCUGUCCGAGCGUCAUUGCUGCCCUCAAGCACGGCUUGUGUGUUGGGCCCCGUCCUCCGAUCCCGGGGGACGGGCCCGAAAGGCAGCGGCGGCACCGCGUCCGGUCCUCGAGCGUAUGGGGCUUUGUCACCCGCUCUGUAGGCCCGGCCGGCGCUUGCCGAUCAACCCAAAUUUUUAUCCAGGUUGACCUCGGAUCAGGUAGGGAUACCCGCUGAACUUAAGCAUAUCAAUAAGCGGAGGA
rnacentral:misc_RNA from 1 species